rnacentral:rRNA from 1 species
UGGGGAAUUUUGGACAAUGGGCGAAAGCCUGAUCCAGCAAUGCCGCGUGUGUGAAGAAGGCCUUCGGGUUGUAAAGCACUUUUGUCCGGAAAGAAAAUCCUUGGCUCUAAUACAGUCGGGGGAUGACGGUACCGGAAGAAUAAGCACCGGCUAACUACGUGCCAGCAGCCGCGGUAAUACGUAGGGUGCAAGCGUUAAUCGGAAUUACUGGGCGUAAAGCGUGCGCAGGCGGUUUGCUAAGACCGAUGUGAAAUCCCCGGGCUCAACCUGGGAACUGCAUUGGUGACUGGCAGGCUAGAGUAUGGCAGAGGGGGGUAGGAAUUCCACGUGUAGCAGUGAAAUGCGUAGAGAUGUGGAGGAAUACCGAUGGCGAAGGCAGCCCCCUGGGCCAAUACUGACGCUCGUGCACGAAAGCGUGGGGAGCAAAACAGGAUUAGAUACCCCUGGUAGUCCACGCCCUAAAACGAUGUCAACUAGUUGUUGGGGAUUCAUUCCUUAGUAACGUAGCUAACGCGUGAAGUUGACCGCCUGGGGAGUACGGUCGCAAGAUU